rnacentral:lncRNA from 1 species
ACAGUUGGAAAACAAACCUGGGCAAGAUGGCGCUCCCCAUGGUGGGGGCUGUGGCCUCCGCUCUUCCUGGACUCCCCUCUGGUGGGGCCCAGUCUGGCAGCCCUGCUGUCCCCUCCUCCUUCCUGCCUUCUGUGCUGGCCCUACACCACACUCCCUCUCACCUGAGGGAAACCAGCCGCUUCUUCUCCUGGCCAAGAUCUCCCCUGGGGGCUGUAGCCCUGCAGCCCAUCACUGCCCCAGUGAAGAACCUCGGGCCUGGGGAGGCUGAGGGCUCCGGCCUCCGCUGUGGACCUGGACUUUGGAUGAAGCUCCCCAGGCAGGGGCUGCGCCACCCGCUGGAGAGAACUGUUCUCUCCCCCUUUGUCUGAGCCCUUGACGACUCUGGGAUAUGGCCCUGGUGGGGGACAUUCUCCUCACUGUGAGAAGCAGCUUUGCUCUCCACUCUCUUUCCGAGGCACCUGACUCUCCUGCUUUCUUCCUCUGGGCUGUGGAACCUUCUGCAGAUCCUCUCUCCUCAGGAUGAGGAAAGCAGACGCCACUCUCCCUCCAGGCCCCCAGACAUCCUCUCCUCCCCCGGCUCAGGGCAACCGGCUCUCUCCUUGUUUAAUUCUCCAGUGACUGCUGCCCUUUACCCUAAUGUGCAGAGGGGGUGACAGGAGCAGGGUGACCUCAACCCCCUAGUCCCACUCUCCAGGCUCAGGGCCUGUGUCUGGGGAGGGGAAGCUGUUGCUCAGCCACAAGGCUGGGUCCCUCUGGGGAGGACCUGGCCCACCCAGCAGAGGGGUCACCAGGGCAGGUUGGUUGGGUCCAAUGGCUGGGGGCUCAGAGGCAUCUGUCUGUCCGGGGCCUGGCUUGGAAAGUCACAGAGCGCCCUGCAGGACCCCUCACCCGCCUUUUCAAAGUGCUUUCCCUCCACCCCUGUCAGGCAUCCGUGGGAUCACAUUUUCGGGAAAAUGGGUGGUGUGGUGCCCUCGCUCAUCAAAGCAGCAGCUGGCACCUGUAAAGAGUCCCCUUAGAAAGUGCUUUUCUGUCAGAGCAAGUGGUCUCAGCUGUGGCUGCAAGUGAGAAUCACCUGAGAGCUUUUAAAAAUACCG